GACAGAGGGUGCAAACGUUGUUCGGAAUUACUGGGCGUAAAGCGAGUGUAGGCGGUCUGACAAGUCUGGUGUGAAAGCCCACAUGUUAACUGUGGAAGUGCACUAGAAACUGUUGGAUUUGAGUUCAGGAGAGGAAGGCAGAAUUCCCGGUGUAGCGGUGAAAUGCGUAGAGAUCGGGAGGAAUACCAGUGGCGAAGGCGGCCUUCUGGACUGACACUGACGCUGAGGCGCGAAAGCCAGGGGAGCAAACGGG
rnacentral:rRNA from 1 species